rnacentral:rRNA from 1 species
GACGAACGCUGGCGGCGUGCUUAACACAUGCAAGUCGAACGGUGAAGGGACCGGUUUUUGCUGGUUCUGGAUGAGUGGCGAACGGGUGAGUAACACGUGAGUAACCUGCCCCCUUCUUCUGGAUAACCGCAUGAAAGUGUGGCUAAUACGGGAUAUUCUGCGCCUGCUGCAUGGUGGGUGUGGGAAAGAUAUUGUUUCGGUGGGGGAUGGGCUCGCGGCCUAUCAGCUUGUUGGUGGGGUGAUGGCCUACCAAGGCGGUGACGGGUAGCCGGCCUGAGAGGGUGGACGGUCACACUGGGACUGAGACACGGCCCAGACUCCUACGGGAGGCAGCAGUGGGGAAUAUUGCACAAUGGGCGCAAGCCUGAUGCAGCGACGCCGCGUGAGGGAUGGAGGCCUUCGGGUUGUAAACCUCUUUCGCCAGUGAAGCAGGCCCGUCCCUUUUGUGGGUGGGUUGACGGUAGCUGGAGAAGAAGCGCCGGCUAACUACGUG